CCUCACUCUCAAGUGCAAGAGGAUUGAUCACUGAUGUCCAUUGCACUUAAUAGUGGGGCU
rnacentral:pre_miRNA from 1 species